rnacentral:misc_RNA from 1 species
UUUCCGUAGGUGAACCUGCGGAAGGAUCAUUCAUAAUAAGUGUUUUACUGCACUUUUUAAAAAUAGUACUCACCUUGUGUGCAAUGUUGUGUUUCUUUUCGGAGAAACACCUACACCAACCUAUAACCUUGAACCACUUUGUCUGAAAAACUAUUAUGAAUACUUAAUUCAAAAUACAACUUUCAACAACGGAUCUCUUGGCUCUCGUAUCGAUGAAGAACGCAGC